rnacentral:rRNA from 1 species
CAAUAGCGUAUAUUAAAGUUGUUGCAGUUAAAAAGCUCGUAGUUGGAUUUGUGGUGGCCCCUGCGGUCCAAAAAUGUUUUGGUGCUGUUGGUGGCUGCCAUCUUUGGGUGGAGCCUGUGUGGCAUUAGGUUGUCGCGCAGGGGAUGCCCAUCGUUUACUGUGAAAAAAUUAGAGUGUUCAAAGCAGGCUUACGCCGUUGAAUAUAUUAGCAUGGAAUAAUGAGAUAGGACCUUGGUACUAUUUUGUUGGUUUGCGCACCGAGGUAAUGAUUAAUAGGGACAGUUGGGGCUAUUCGUAUUCCAUUGUCAGAGGUGAAAUUCUUGGAUUUCUGGAAGACGAACUACUGCGAAAGCAUUUAGCAAGGAUGUUUUCAUUAA